rnacentral:miRNA from 1 species
UUAGGUUGGUGCAAAAGUAACUCCAGCUUUUGCUGUUACUUUUAAUGGCAAAAACAGCAAUUACUUUUGCACCAACUUAAUAA